UUCUGUGUAUCUACCCCUCAUGAGUCUGGGGUCCCCAAGGACAGGUGUCCCUAAAGUGCCCUGCAGUUAGGGUGGGUCUGCCCCCUUCGUUUUACAAACUUCUAUAACCUUUAUAUUGGGUAAAGGGGUGGCAAUAUCAGCCUUCCACUUACUGUGCCUCCCCUCCCACCUCCACCCUCUCCCAGGCUCUGAACCCACGCUCACACCGCUCCCUUCACUCUCCCCUACAGGGUGGCCGUCCUGGACAAAGUUACAGACUUCCUCUUCCUGUUGGGCAAACUUCUGAUUGUGGGUAGUGUGGGUGAGUGAUGCCACCAGGCCUGUCU
rnacentral:lncRNA from 1 species